rnacentral:rRNA from 1 species
GCUUACCAUGCAAGUCGAACGGUGAUGACCAGUUUGCUGGUCUGAUCAGUGGCGAACGGGUGAGUAACACGUGAGCAACCUACCCCAGACUCUGGAAUAACCAUGGGAAACGAUGGCUAAUACCGGAUACGAGGCAUACACGCAUGUGUGGUGUCUGGAAAGAUUUAUCGGUCUGGGAUGGGCUCGCGGCCUAUCAGCUUGUUGGUGGGGUAGUGGCCUACCAAGGCGACGACGGGUAGCCGGCCUGAGAGGGCGACCGGCCACACUGGGACUGAGAUACGGCCCAGACUCCUACGGGAGGCAGCAGUGGGGAAUAUUGCACAAUGGGCGCAAGCCUGAUGCAGCGACGCCGCGUGAGGGAUGACGGCCUUCGGGUUGUAAACCUCUUUCAGCAGGGAAGAAGCGCAAGUGACGGUACCUGCAGAAGAAGCGCCGGCUAACUACGUGCCAGCAGCCGCGGUAAUACGUAGGGCGCAAGCGUUGUCCGGAAUUAUUGGGCGUAAAGAGCUCGUAGGCGGUUUGUCGCGUCUGCUGUGAAAACCUAAGGCUCAACCUUGGGCUUGCAGUGGGUACGGGCAGACUAGAGUGCGGUAGGGGUGACUGGAAUUCCUGGUGUAGCGGUGGAAUGCGCAGAUAUCAGGAGGAACACCGAUGGCGAAGGCAGGUCACUGGGCCGCAACUGACGCUGAGGAGCGAAAGCAUGGGGAGCGAACAGGAUUAGAUACCCUGGUAGUCCAUGCCGUAAACGUU